rnacentral:rRNA from 1 species
GUCCACGCUGUAAACGAUGAUAACUAGAUGUUGGCGAUACACAGUCAGUGUCGAAGCGAAAGUGAUAAGUUAUCCACCUGGGGAGUACGAUCGCAAGGUUGAAACUCAAAGGAAUUGACGGGGGGCCCGCACAAGCGGAGGAGCAUGUGGUUUAAUUCGAUGAUACGCGAGGAACCUUACCUGGACUUGAACGUAUUAGGCAUAAUUUGGAAACAGAUUAGUUAGCAAUAACCUGAUACGAGGUGCUGCAUGGUUGUCGU